rnacentral:lncRNA from 1 species
GGCGGGCGGGAGCCGGACGGCGGGGCGGCCGGAGCAGGAAGCGCCGCGUUCAGAUCUGCUGAUUGGGGAGGAAAAAAACUCUUUGGAUCUUCAUUCUGCUAAUUAGUUUCCUGCAAAAAAUGGCUGAUUAGUGCAGUGCGCAUGUGCCUCAUUACCCAGGCACGACGGGAAGGGCUAAUUAGCCACCUUCUGGAUCAAUAAGAUUCAGCCCAGGCGGCGGGGGAGGGAGGGAGCGAGGGAGGGGGAGCGCGCGCGGGCGGAGCGGCGGACGAGGGAGGGGGAGGGCAAGCGGGGGCGCACUACCGCCUCGCCCCGCGCAUUCCAGCCCUUUUCUGGCCGCCACGGCGGCUGGAGCCGGAUGGGGAAGUUGCCGGGGAAGUUGGGGCUCGGCGGGAAGAGGCUCGCCAGGACGCGGCCCCGAUCCGGCUCCGGCUUCCAGUGGCAACGUCACGGCCUGGGAUGGCUUCCGCCGGGCGUCCUCGGCGUGGUCAAGGCAGCCGGCCCGGCGGCGGCGCCUCCUUCCGGAAGGCCGGGCUCGGGUCCCCUGCGACGCGGCGGUGCUCGGACUUGGCCAGGGGAGCGGCGGGAAGGCCCGGCGAGGGGCCGCUGGAGGUCGGCUGGGGACUGGGAGGAGUUGCGGGCGGGGGAAAGCUCUGCGGACGGAGCUCCCGCCCGCCUGGCCGAGGGGCCCAGUGUUGGCCGCGCCCAGCCCGGCCGCGCUGCAGUCGGGAAGCGCUUGAGCCGCCAGCGGCUGGCAAGACGCCCGAAGAGCCGAGCCGCGGGCAGCGAGACGGAUCGCGGGCGGUCCCGGCCGAAAGGAGCGGGGGACGGCGGGCCGGAGUGGCCUGAAGCUCGUGCUGCCCGGCCCGGCUGUCUGGAGGCGGAGCGGCGCUGUCGGCCGGCGCUGAAAAGCUCGCGGGCGGCCGCGUCCUUGGCCCGGUUGCCUCGGCGAUGGUUCCCCGUGAGAAGCUGGGCUCUUCCUGGGAGAAGCGGCUCCGGGUCGACAGAAGCUCAAGGAAACUGCUCCAGCUGUCGCAAAGGGCUUUGUUUUAAAAUUCCUCUCUUGUUUUU